CCCCACGCCAAGCAAUAGAGAUGUCAACCGACUUUUCUCAACAACAGCAGCAAAAUUUACAGAAAGGCAGCUGUCUUAUUCUAGGCACCUUGGACUUAUUUAUCUUAGAACUGGAAGUUUGUACAUUUUGAUCACCUUCAUCCGUUUUGACCUCCCCACAACCCUGCCUCUGUUCCAGCCACCAAUGUGAUCUGCUCUCUACCCCACUACAUGAGCUGGAAACCUCAACCUAAAAUAGUUACAGAGGUGAGACAAAAGAUACAAACUAAACUGGUCAUUAAAAUUUCUCCAAUGGGCAUGAAUAAUGUGAAUGUGAGAGAAGGUGUAUAGGUGCAGAUAGGUAAAGGAAAAAGAAAAAAAGAGAAAAGAAAGAGAAAAUUUUUGUCCCAACUUUCCCUGAUUGCUUAUAAUUCUGUGUCUCUGAAAUGAGCCAAGAAAAUCUGCCAAGCAAGAAGGUGGAGGAUAAGGACAUAAAUGCAACAUUUAGUUAUUAGUGCUUUGCAAAACCCAAAGACUUUAUUUCAUGUUCACAACAAUCUUUGCAUUGUCAUGCUGGAUUCAAAUUGUGUUGGAUUUGGCUACUUUGGAAAUUUUUGCAUGGCUGGAUUCUUAGUGUGUAGUGAAAAAAGGAGAGGGCCUCUGACACACUUGAGUUCCUGUCAUAGGACAGGUGUUCGUUCUUAUUUAAUUGUAUGAUCCCUUCUAUAUCAGAUGUUGGCAAAGCUUUCUGAGCAACAUUUUACUGCUUUGUGAUGUGAUUCUUCUCUGAUUUAACAUGUGUCACUUAAACUUAUAUUUCCUGCCUAUUCUUCCCAUGCCAAUUUGAACUAUACAAAAAACUUAAAAGAGGAGAAAUUUCAUACAGUAUAAAUAAGGAUUUUGUAUUGGGACAAUUCUUAAUUAAAGUUAAGAUUUUGCAUAACAAUACAGGAUACGGCAAAAAUCAACUCAAGACGUGGUAUAUUGCAGUUGCAUUAUAACUAACCAAGUCUAGACCCAAAUUUUACACCAACUGUAAAUCAUGGACUAAAAUAAAACUCAAUGAAACCUGUGCCUGAGCCAGAGUUUGCUUUCCUUGGAUUUGGCAACAAACUACUAACUUUGCAUAGGAUAGGCAGCAGAGGAGGAAAUACUACAUUUCUUUGAACCAAUCCAUGUUACAAAGAAUAGCUAAUUCUUGUUUGGUAACCAGCUAGAUUUUUAAAUAACAAUAUCCAACAGAAAUAGAAUUAUGUCUGUACAAACUGUAAUCACAAAAAGCAAUAGCCAAACAGAAAUUUUGUCUAAAUGACAUUAUCAGAACUUAG